GUCAAUUGACAGCUACCUGUUGAUUCUGUUGAUAACAACAAGUAUACAUAUAUCAACACAUUUGUAAACGUGUUAAAAAGGUAUAGGAAUACCAUAUAUGGUCUAUCAUAUGUUUUAAUAAAUAUAUAGUACAGGUUUGAUUUUGGGGAAAUGAAACAAAAAGCAGGAAAACCUAAGGAAACAGCACGGGAGAAAAAACUUAGGCGGAAAGAAUUUCAGGAUGCUCAGAAACAACUCAAAACAAUCGUAAUUCCAACAUUGGUGGGAGUUUUCAUUCUCAUUAUAGCCUAUGUCUAUGUUAAGACCAGACCGAUUUAUGCCAGUAGUAUUUGAAAGACCUAUUUACAACACAUUGUGAAUAGUACAAAAUAAUGUAUGAGAUGAAACAAUGGUAAAUUUUUUUGUUAUUACAAUUUUUGCUGUUCUCAUGUUAUAUUCAUAUCACAAAUUUAAAAUAUAUUUUUGACAAGUA